AGCGUUGUUCGGAAUUACUGGGCGUAAAGCGCGCGCAGGCGGUUCGAUAAGUUGGGGGUGAAAUCCCCGGGCUCAACCCGGGAAUGGCCUUCAAGACUGUCGAUCUAGAGGACGAGAGAGGUGAGUGGAAUUCCCAGUGUAG
rnacentral:rRNA from 1 species